GUCUGCAUUCUGCAGGAUGCUGACUGCCCGGCUAGUCAGCGCUGCGUUUCCCACGCCAACUUCUUCAGUUCUGGAAACUGCCAGACUUAUCGUCAUUGCAUUGACGUUUCGUCUAUGACAUGCUCAUGCAGACCGGGGUACGAGUGUCGCAUAAGUGGUUGCCAUUCCGCAAUGUACGAAU